ensembl:lncRNA
UGAUAACGUUGGGAUCUCUGAUCACUUCCCAGUUAUCUUUGAUAUUGAUUUGUGUAAGAUUGAACUGUAUCCUGAGAAUCCCCGACGCCCUAUGCGUAUUAUUAAUCAUGAAUCUGUGACAAAUUUUUCUUUGGCUUUCCUCAACUCUGCCUCUACUUAACCAGCUUUGACUGCUCCAAACAUGCUACGAUUGACGACAUCGCUAAUUCUUUGCUGUCCAUGUGUUCUUCCAUCCUUGAUACUGUAGCUCCGAUCAAAAUGAAAUCUCCUAGAACUAAUUCUCAACAUUGGUUUAAUGAUUCUACGCGUGCCCUGCGGCGUGUAUGCCACCGAGCCGAGAGGAAAUGGAAGAAAGAUAAUCUCCAGUGCAGGUGGAGCCCUGAUGACUUUGGCUAAGAAAAUUGUCAGGAGGUGGAAGGAUUACUUCGAGGACAUUCUUAAUCCCAGUGGCACGUCUUGGAUGAUGUGGUCCUGUUGGCUUCAUCAGGUGGUGGCCUCCAGCUCGCAUUGGAACGGUUUGCAGCCAAGUGUGAAGUGGCGGGAAUGAGGAUCAGCACUGCCAAAUCUGAGGCCACGGUUGUCAGCCGGAAAAGGGUGGAGUGUCCACUCUGGGUCGGGGAGGAGUUCUUGACCCAAGUGGAGGAGUUUAAAUAUCUCGGGGUCUUGUUCAUGAGUGACGGGAGAAGGGAGCCGGAGAUUGACA